rnacentral:rRNA from 2 species
UUAAGCGACUAAGCGUACACGGUGGAUGCCCUGGCAGUCAGAGGCGAUGAAGGACGUGCUAAUCUGCGAUAAGCGUCGGUAAGGUGAUAUGAACCGUUAUAACCGGCGAUUUCCGAAUGGGGAAACCCAGUGUGAUUCGUCACACUAUCAUUAACUGAAUCCAUAGGUUAAUGAGGCGAACCGGGGGAACUGAAACAUCUAAGUACCCCGAGGAAAAGAAAUCAACCGAGAUUCCCCCAGUAGCGGCGAGCGAACGGGGAGCAGCCCAGAGCCUGAAUCAGUGUGUGUGUUAGUGGAAGCGUCUGGAAAGGCGCGCGAUACAGGGUGACAGCCCCGUACACAAAAAUGCACAUGCUGUGAGCUCGAUGAGUAGGGCGGGACACGUGGUAUCCUGUCUGAAUAUGGGGGGACCAUCCUCCAAGGCUAAAUACUCCUGACUGACCGAUAGUGAACCAGUACCGUGAGGGAAAGGCGAAAAGAACCCCGGCGAGGGGAGUGAAAAAGAACCUGAAACCGUGUACGUACAAGCAGUGGGAGCACGCUUAGGCGUGUGACUGCGUACCUUUUGUAUAAUGGGUCAGCGACUUAUAUUCUGUAGCAAGGUUAACCGAAUAGGGGAGCCGAAGGGAAACCGAGUCUUAACUGGGCGUUAAGUUGCAGGGUAUAGACCCGAAACCCGGUGAUCUAGCCAUGGGCAGGUUGAAGGUUGGGUAACACUAACUGGAGGACCGAACCGACUAAUGUUGAAAAAUUAGCGGAUGACUUGUGGCUGGGGGUGAAAGGCCAAUCAAACCGGGAGAUAGCUGGUUCUCCCCGAAAGCUAUUUAGGUAGCGCCUCGUGAAUUCAUCUCCGGGGGUAGAGCACUGUUUCGGCAAGGGGGUCAUCCCGACUUACCAACCCGAUGCAAACUGCGAAUACCGGAGAAUGUUAUCACGGGAGACACACGGCGGGUGCUAACGUCCGUCGUGAAGAGGGAAACAACCCAGACCGCCAGCUAAGGUCCCAAAGUCAUGGUUAAGUGGGAAACGAUGUGGGAAGGCCCAGACAGCCAGGAUGUUGGCUUAGAAGCAGCCAUCAUUUAAAGAAAGCGUAAUAGCUCACUGGUCGAGUCGGCCUGCGCGGAAGAUGUAACGGGGCUAAACCAUGCACCGAAGCUGCGGCAGCGACGCUGAUGCGUUGUUGGGUAGGGGAGCGUUCUGUAAGCCUGCGAAGGUGUGCUGUGAGGCAUGCUGGAGGUAUCAGAAGUGCGAAUGCUGACAUAAGUAACGAUAAAGCGGGUGAAAAGCCCGCUCGCCGGAAGACCAAGGGUUCCUGUCCAACGUUAAUCGGGGCAGGGUGAGUCGACCCCUAAGGCGAGGCCGAAAGGCGUAGUCGAUGGGAAACAGGUUAAUAUUCCUGUACUUGGUGUUACUGCGAAGGGGGGACGGAGAAGGCUAUGUUGGCCGGGCGACGGUUGUCCCGGUUUAAGCGUGUAGGCUGGUUUUCCAGGCAAAUCCGGAAAAUCAAGGCUGAGGCGUGAUGACGAGGCACUACGGUGCUGAAGCAACAAAUGCCCUGCUUCCAGGAAAAGCCUCUAAGCAUCAGGUAACAUCAAAUCGUACCCCAAACCGACACAGGUGGUCAGGUAGAGAAUACCAAGGCGCUUGAGAGAACUCGGGUGAAGGAACUAGGCAAAAUGGUGCCGUAACUUCGGGAGAAGGCACGCUGAUAUGUAGGUGAAGCGACUUGCUCGUGGAGCUGAAAUCAGUCGAAGAUACCAGCUGGCUGCAACUGUUUAUUAAAAACACAGCACUGUGCAAACACGAAAGUGGACGUAUACGGUGUGACGCCUGCCCGGUGCCGGAAGGUUAAUUGAUGGGGUUAGCGCAAGCGAAGCUCUUGAUCGAAGCCCCGGUAAACGGCGGCCGUAACUAUAACGGUCCUAAGGUAGCGAAAUUCCUUGUCGGGUAAGUUCCGACCUGCACGAAUGGCGUAAUGAUGGCCAGGCUGUCUCCACCCGAGACUCAGUGAAAUUGAACUCGCUGUGAAGAUGCAGUGUACCCGCGGCAAGACGGAAAGACCCCGUGAACCUUUACUAUAGCUUGACACUGAACAUUGAGCCUUGAUGUGUAGGAUAGGUGGGAGGCUUUGAAGUGUGGACGCCAGUCUGCAUGGAGCCGGCCUUGAAAUACCACCCUUUAAUGUUUGAUGUUCUAACGUUGACCCGUAAUCCGGGUUGCGGACAGUGUCUGGUGGGUAGUUUGACUGGGGCGGUCUCCUCCUAAAGAGUAACGGAGGAGCACGAAGGUUGGCUAAUCCUGGUCGGACAUCAGGAGGUUAGUGCAAUGGCAUAAGCCAGCUUGACUGCGAGCGUGACGGCGCGAGCAGGUGCGAAAGCAGGUCAUAGUGAUCCGGUGGUUCUGAAUGGAAGGGCCAUCGCUCAACGGAUAAAAGGUACUCCGGGGAUAACAGGCUGAUACCGCCCAAGAGUUCAUAUCGACGGCGGUGUUUGGCACCUCGAUGUCGGCUCAUCACAUCCUGGGGCUGAAGUAGGUCCCAAGGGUAUGGCUGUUCGCCAUUUAAAGUGGUACGCGAGCUGGGUUUAGAACGUCGUGAGACAGUUCGGUCCCUAUCUGCCGUGGGCGCUGGAGAACUGAGGGGGGCUGCUCCUAGUACGAGAGGACCGGAGUGGACGCAUCACUGGUGUUCGGGUUGUCAUGCCAAUGGCACUGCCCGGUAGCUAAAUGCGGAAGAGAUAAGUGCUGAAAGCAUCUAAGCACGAAACUUGCCCCGAGAUGAGUUCUCCCUGACUCCUUGAGAGUCCUGAAGGAACGUUGAAGACGACGACGUUGAUAGGCCGGGUGUGUAAGCGCAGCGAUGCGUUGAGCUAACCGGUACUAAUGAACCGUGAGGCUUAACCUU